CGGGCCGCAGCAGGCGCGAAAACUUUACAAUGCAGGAAACUGUGAUAAGGGAACCCCGAGUGCCCGUAUACGCGGGCUGUCCAGGUGUCUAAAAAGCAUCUGAAGAAAGGGCCGGGCAAGACCGGUGCCAGCCGCCGCGGUAAUACCGGCGGCUCGAGUGGUGGCCACUAUUAUUGGGCUUAAAGCGUCCGUAGCUGGACUGAUAAGUCUCUUGGGAAAUCCGCCGGCUUAACCGGCGGGCGUCUAAGAGAUACUNNNAGUCUAGGGACCGGGAGAGGUGAGAGGUACUCCGGGGGUAGGAGUGAAAUCCUGUAAUCCCUGGGGGACCACCGAUGGCGAAGGCAUCUCACCAGAACGGCNNNGACAGUGAGGGACGAAAGCUGGGGGAGCGAACCGGAUUAGAUACCCGGGUAGUCCCAGCCGUAAACUAUGCGCGNUAGGUGUACCGGUGACCACGAGUCNC
rnacentral:rRNA from 1 species